GUUGAUAGAUAGAUAGGGUGCCAAUACUUGUAGAGUUGAUAGAUAGAUAGGGUGCCAAUACUUGUAGAGUUGAUAGAUAGAUAGGGUGCCAAUACUUGUAGAACACACAGAUAGAUAGAUAGGGUGCCAAUACUUGUAGAGUUGAUAGACACACAGAUAGAUAGAUAGGGUGCCAAUACUUGUAGAGUUGAUAGAUAGGGUGCUAAUACUUGUAGAACAGAUAGAUCGAUAGGGUGCCAAUACUUGUAGAGUUGAUAGAUAGAUAGGGUGCCAAUACUUGUAGAGUUGAUAGACAGAUAGAUAGGGUGCCAAUACUUAUAGAGUUGAUAGAUAGGGUGCCAAUACUUGUAGAGUUGAUAGACA
ensembl:lncRNA